rnacentral:piRNA from 1 species
UGCUCAGUGCCUUUUAUCUCAGUUGUCCAA